AGCAGCCGCGGUAAUUCCAGCUCCAAUAGCGUAUAUUAAAGUUGUUGCAGUUAAAAAGCUCGUAGUUGAAUUUCGGGGUUAGUAGGUUGGUCAUGCCUCUGGUAUGUACUGGUCUCACUGAUUCCUCCUUCCUGAUGAGCCGUAAUGCCAUUAAUUUGGUGUUGCGGGGAAUUUGGACUGUUACUUUGAAAAAAUUAGAGUGUUUAAAGCAAGCUAACGCUUGAAUACAUUAGCAUGGAAUAAUGAAAUAGGACGUUCGAUCCUAUUUUGUUGGUUUCUAGGAUUGACGUAAUGAUUAAUAGGGAUAGUUGGGGGCAUUAGUAUUCAAUUGUCAGAGGUGAAAUUCUUGGAUUUAUUGAAGACUAACUACUGCGAAAGCAUUUGCCAAGGAUGUUUUCAUUAAUCAAGAACGAAAGUUAGGGGAUCGAAGACGAUCAGAUACCGUCGUAGUCUUAACCAUAAACUAUGCCGACUAGGGAUCGGAUGAUGUUAAUUUUUAAUGACUCAUUCGGCNCGUUUA
rnacentral:rRNA from 1 species